rnacentral:rRNA from 1 species
GACGGAGGGUGCUUGCGUUGUUCGGAAUUACUGGGCGUAAAGGGCGCGUAGGCGGCCCUGUCAGUCGGGUGUGAAAGCCCGGGGCUCAACCCCGGAACGGCACCCGAGACGGCGGGGCUGGAGACCGGGAGAGGAGGGUGGAAUAGCCAGUGUAGAGGUGAAAUUCGUAGAUAUUGGCUGGAACACCGGUGGCGAAAGCGGCUCUCUGGCCCGGUUCUGACGCUGAGGCGCGAAAGCGUGGGGAGCAAACAGG